rnacentral:rRNA from 1 species
CCUACGGGAGGCUGCAGUAAGGAAUAUUGGUCAAUGGACGAAAGUCUGAACCAGCCAUGCCGCGUGAAGGAUGAAGGCCCUCUGGGUUGUAAACUUCUUUUAUCUGGGACGAAAAAGGGAAUUCUUUCUCACUUGACGGUACCAGAGGAAUAAGCACCGGCUAACUCCGUGCCAGCAGCCGCGGUAAUACGGAGGGUGCAAGCGUUAUCCGGAUUCACUGGGUGCGUAGGUGGGGUAGGUGGGCAUUUAUGAAAUCUCCGGGCUUAACUCGGAAACUGCCGUUGAUACUAUAUACCUUGAAUAUCCUGGAGGUGAGCGGAAUAUGUCAUGUAGCGGUGAAAUGCUUAGAUAUGACAUAGAACACCAAUUGCGAAGGCAGCUCACUACGGGAUGAUUGACACUGAGGCACGAAAGCGUGGGGAUCAAACAGGAUUAGAUACCCGAGUAGUC